UACGUAGGGUGCGAGCGUUGCCCGGAUUUAUUGGGCGUAAAGGGCGCGUAGGCGGCUCUGCACGUCCGUUGUGAAAUCGCCCGGCUCAACUGGGCGGGGUCACAGGUAACGGUCGAGCUAUGAGUGCAGGAGAGGGAAGUGGAACUCCGGGAGUAGCGGUGAAAUGCGUAGAGACCCGGAGGAACACCAGUGGCGAAGGCGGCUUCCUGGUCUGCGACUGACGCUGUGGCGCGAAAGCUAGGGGAGCGAACGGG
rnacentral:rRNA from 1 species